rnacentral:rRNA from 1 species
GACGAACGCUGGCGGCGUGCUUAACACAUGCAAGUCGAACGGAAAGGCCCUGCUUUUGUGGGGUGCUCGAGUGGCGAACGGGUGAGUAACACGUGAGUAACCUGCCCUUGACUUUGGGAUAACUUCAGGAAACUGGGGCUAAUACCGGAUAGGAGCUCCUGCUGCAUGGUGGGGGUUGGAAAGUUUCGGCGGUUGGGGAUGGACUCGCGGCUUAUCAGCUUGUUGGUGGGGUAGUGGCUUACCAAGGCUUUGACGGGUAGCCGGCCUGAGAGGGCGACCGGCCACAUUGGGACUGAGAUACGGCCCAGACUCCUACGGGAGGCAGCAGUGGGGAAUAUUGCGCAAUGGGCGGAAGCCUGAUGCAGCAACGCCGCGUGCGGGAUGACGGCCUUCGGGUUGUAAACCGCUUUCGCCUGUGACGAAGCGUGAGUGACGGUAAUGGGUAAAGAAGCACCAGCUAACUACGUG